rnacentral:rRNA from 1 species
CGUAAUGAUAUGACGUACUUGUACUGAUGAGAUUUAACACGAAGUGAGUGGCGAACGGGUGAGUAACACGUGGGUAACCUGCCCAGAAGUAGGGGAUAACACCUGGAAACAGAUGCUAAUACCGUAUAACAGAGAAAACCGCAUGGUUUUCUUUUAAAAGAUGGCUCUGCUAUCACUUCUGGAUGGACCCGCGGCGUAUUAGCUAGUUGGUGAGGUAAAGGCUCACCAAGGCAGUGAUACGUAGCCGACCUGAGAGGGUAAUCGGCCACAUUGGGACUGAGACACGGCCCAGACUCCUACGGGAGGCAGCAGUAGGGAAUCUUCCACAAUGGACGCAAGUCUGAUGGAGCAACGCCGCGUGAGUGAAGAAGGGUUUCGGCUCGUAAAGCUCUGUUGUUAAAGAAGAAUGUGGGUAAGAGUAACUGUUUACCCAGUGACGGUAUUUAACCAGAAAGCCACGGCUAACUACGUGCCAGCAGCCGCGGUAAUACGUAGGUGGCAAGCGUUAUCCGGAUUUAUUGGGCGUAAAGCGAGCGCAGGCGGUCUUUUAAGUCUAAUGUGAAAGCCUUCGGCUCAACCGAAGAAGUGCAUUGGAAACUGGGAGACUUGAGUGCAGAAGAGGACAGUGGAACUCCAUGUGUAGCGGUGAAAUGCGUAGAUAUAUGGAAGAACACCAGUGGCGAAGGCGGCUGUCUGGUCUGCAACUGACGCUGAGGCUCGAAAGCAUGGGUAGCGAACAGGAUUAGAUACCCUGGUAGUCCAUGCCGUAAACGAUGAUUACUAAGUGUUGGAGGGUUUCCGCCCUUCAGUGCUGCAGCUAACGCAUUAAGUAAUCCGCCUGGGGAGUACGACCGCAAGGUUGAAACUCAAAAGAAUUGACGGGGGCCCGCACAAGCGGUGGAGCAUGUGGUUUAAUUCGAAGCUACGCGAAGAACCUUACCAGGUCUUGACAUCUUCUGACAGUCUAAGAGAUUAGAGGUUCCCUUCGGGGACAGAAUGACAGGUGGUGCAUGGUGUCGUCAGCU